CCGGAUCCGAGGUUUAUUUUAAUCAAAGGUCAGUGAUUUCUCUUGGACGUUCUGUGCGUGUUGAUUCCCUGUUCUAGAUCCGUAGCAUGUUCCAAUCCAUUAACCAAAAUUGUCUUGCUUUCUUCUAGAUCUGAAGAGGAGCGUGCGCCCCGUCCAGGAUCUGAUUGUUUGCUGACUAGUUAAUUUUUGUGGAUGAGAGAAUUUUCUGGUGCUUUGUGGAUGUCCUUGCUGGAUGGAGGCUGGAUGUCUCACGUGGAAGAAUUGAUUCAUGUGGCUUGUGGGGGUGAAUGGCGUAGCAUCCCAUCGUCGAUCUUCAGCACACUCUGUUGAUCCUACCGCUAGCGGCGCCCAGUCAGCCGUAAACAGAUCAACAUAUUUCUUUAAUUAUUUUUGUUAGUGGACAUAUGAUCAAAUGGAUUCACAAAUAGUGAUUUCAGCUGCUAUUUCUUCUUUGGGAAAGUAGUAUAUACCCAACAAAAAGGAACAGUACUUCUGGUUUCUAGUUUAAUCACUAUGUUGAAACCUUUGGUUGAAGGAUCAAGAACGGCACCUUGCUGCCAUCUUCUUUAUAUGUUCAGUAUUGUCUCAAUAAGAAAUUGCUGCUAGAAUUUUCUAUUUUGGAAAGGAACAUACAUGUCCCACUUCAACAAGUGCUGUAUUUUUCUGCGGAGACAUACGACCACAUUACAAAAUGUAUUACACAUGUUGUUUCAUCUAACUUUUCAC
rnacentral:lncRNA from 1 species